CAAUUGUGACCCACAGAAUCCGCCGCCCCGACGGCCAGUCCCUGGCGAGGAGCAGCGGCCGGGAGCAGCUCAGUCCAAUGAAGGCCUCCUUGGUCCCUAGUUGGCGCCGCGUGCACCUCCGCGAGCGCUCCCAGGCGCGCUCAUAAACCUGCCCUGGGAGGCGACGAGCCCUCCCCUCCCGAGAGGCUCUGCAGGGGGCUAGGGACCAUCUAAAUCGCGCAGAGGCUCUCUUGCUAGGAGGGCUGCUGAGGCAGAGAACAGCCGUGCUUCGUCACAGUGGGACUCCCUCUGAAGCCACCACCGCGCCAGAAGCCUCCAGCUAGCCCGCUAGCCAGGCGCCCCGUCGUCAGUGGCUCUGUCCGGUUCUGGGCAAACAGGACUGUCGCCGGCUUGCAGCCCCGCCACUUUGACCACCCCGUGGCACAGCGUGGUGCAGCGAACACAACUGUGGUGCGGACUCACCCACUAGCUGGUCCAGUGGUCCGACGGAGCGCUACUGCUCCUUCUUCGCUUCUAGCAAGCUGGAAAUAACUGGCCAUCCCUCCCCCUGUGCCUUGGUGGCCCAUUCCUGCUGUGACCAUGGAGACUCUCAGCAUCUGCCGGACUGCUUCCUUCUCAGAGCUGGUGCCCAAUGGCUGCCAGGUUCAGGUCUUCCCAGACCCCCCUGAGGUAGAAGGCUUGACUAAGGAGGUGAGGCUGGAGGAGCUAGAGGGAUCUGAGCAGUGUAUCCAGAGAGACAUGAGUCCCAAGGAAGAGAGUGGUUGGAACAAGAAGAAAACAAAAGUCAAUAAGAUCUGGAACUUUAUGAGUCGCAGAAAAGGAGCUUCCAGCCAGAGAAAGCGACCUCAGUCCAUGAUUUUGCUGGAAGACAUCUCCAGACCAUCAGAGGUAAAAUCCAAAGUCACCUUCAUGGAUCGAAUGAAGUCAUUCAGGAGGUCAAAGACUUCUACUGGGGCCUCUAAGAAUACUCCCCUCAGGAGUAGUAAGGUCCAGGAGCCACAGGAAGCCACAGGUGUCUACAGGAUACGGAAUAUUGAGGAUGCUCUAAAACCCUUCCGCCAUUCCUAUGCAGGCCAUAUUGAGGGGUUGGAGCCUUUCCUUGAAGAUGUGCAGGGGCUUGUGCAAGCACCCAAGAGGGAAAACCAGAAGGUGCUAACCUCUGAGGAUUUUGGCAUCCAAGUGGAGGAAGAUUUCUGGGAGGAGGAAGAGGUUCCUGGGCACUUCAGUAGUAACAGACAAUGCAGAAACUACCUGAAAAACAUGUCUCCUAGGAGUCAUGAGUCCCCUUCUGCCUGGGUAGAAGACACCAGAAUCCAGGGGCUUGAGACCACCAUUGAGGGCUCCACCUUGGAAGGAGACACAGAAGGCAUCUAUGAGGAGAGCCCUGGACACCAGCACAGAGAUAAGAUGGCUCCAUUCAGUGUCGUUGUCAAAUUCUUCAACAAUAUGGCUGAAGCAGCCCGCAAGUGGCGGUCAUUCUCCCGUGAAGAGCCACAGUUGGGCCGCCGCCACCGUGAACCCUACUGCAGCGAUGGCUUCGUCCUGGAAGGCACUACUUCCCAAGUCUCCUUCCCACUUGAUCUGCCCUGCCAAACCACUGAAUCCAACCUGUGGGGCAAUGCUAUGGGAAGGUGCCGACGCCAUCACCGGAAGGCCCCACACACUUCAUGCACUUUUGAGAUGAGCAUUGAAGGUGAGGAGAUUCCUGGUCAGGCUCUAUCAGGUCCCUGUGAUGCUGCCACCUCUUCUAUGACCUCAGCUGUCUUCAAGUUCCAGGAUGACCCAGUGAAGCAGAAAGGCCACUGCCAUAGCAACUGUCAUACCUCCACCAGGGAGCAUUCCUCCUCUGAGGAGCUUGAUGAAGACACAGAGACGGUGGUCAGCUUCCUCAGGGAAGAGGACAGUUCCAGAGAGCCCCCUGAAUUGGGUGCUUAUGCCAAGAGGUUCACCACUGAGGCUGUCAUGGAGAAGUUGGAGGAGAAGCCCAGUGAAAUGAAAGAGCAGGAGGAAAAUUUGGAACCAGAGGAGUCCAGCCAGGCCAGGAAGCCCCAGAAGCUUGAGAUGGAAAUGAGUGCAGGGGAUGCAGAAGGCAAAGCCACCAAGGCCUGCUCUGGAGUUUGUCAUUCUCAGGCCUUAUUUCCCCCAGCUGAACCAUCACCAAGGAAUCCACCACUCAAAAUCCUUUUGGAAAAAUGCCACUCUCUGCCCAUCUCACAGAGUAUCCCUGUGGAGCUGGACCAAGUGGGCUGGAGGAGACCCAUGAUGCUUUGCACUGGUAACUUGGACCAGGGCUCCAAGACUCUAGAAACCUGCAAGAAAAUUGGUGGAUACUGGAAGCUGCAGAGACCAGGAAACAAGCCAAUAAAUGAA
rnacentral:lncRNA from 1 species